rnacentral:tRNA from 1 species
CGCAUGGAAUACACCUGCGGGCCGCCCAGCUCGAAGGUUUCGCCCGGACGCGGGGUUUCGACAAGGGUGGUAAUGGCUUGGACCACG